UACGGAGGGUCCAAGCGUUAUCCGGAAUCAUUGGGUUUAAAGGGUCCGUAGGCGGUUUUGUAAGUCAGUGGUGAAAGCCCAUCGCUCAACGGUGGAACGGCCAUUGAUACUGCAAGACUUGAAUUACUUGGAAGUAACUAGAAUAUGUAGUGUAGCGGUGAAAUGCUUAGAUAUUACAUGGAAUACCAAUUGCGAAGGCAGGUUACUACUAGUGGAUUGACGCUGAUGGACGAAAGCGUGGGGAGCGAACAGG
rnacentral:rRNA from 1 species